CCUCCCAAGUGCUGGGGUUACAGGCGUGCACCACCACGCCUGGCUCCAUAGUAAGUUUGAAGCCAGCCUGAACACAGCAAGAUCCUACCUAAAAAAAAAUAAUGAUAAUAAUAUAAUAAAAGUAAAGUAAGUAAGGCGCUAAAUACAGGGUGCUCAAGCGAAUUUCCUCGUUUUGUCCAACAUAAAGAUUUGCCUUCUGGCGCCCGCGUUUCCGUCUGGGCUACGCUACUGCGCACGCGCAUGGGUAGCCCUCAGUCUCGAACUGCGACGCAGCCGCCAGGGGGCGCCAGCAGAUAGUGGCCGCUAUUCCAGGUUCCCAGAGGCCUAGAUGGAGACGUAGAGCGAGCGCAAGCUCCAUGCGCAUGCGCGCAUUGCGUCCUCCCAGCCAGCAUGGCGCCGGUGGAGCACGUUGUGGCGGACGCCGGGGCUUUCCUGCGGGACGCGGCUCUGCAGGACAUCGGGAAGAACAUCUACACCGUCCGGGAGGUGGUCAGCGAGAUUCGGGACCGGGCCACGCGCCGGCGCCUGGCCGUGCUGCCCUACGCGCUGCGCUUCCGGGAGCCGCUGGCGGAGUACGUGCGGCUGGGUGAGUGCCGGGACGCGGCCGACGGCGCGCAAGGAACCCAGUGGUACAGCGUUCCCCUGCCCGCUUCCCGAAGGCCCUGGAUGCGAUUCCCGCACUGCCCCCGCCCCCAAAUCCAAGAACCCAGACCUGUGACUUUUCCUCGAUUCCUUAGGGUGAUGGUUGUGUGUGUGUUUUUGUUUGUUUGUUUUGAGGCAGGCUCUCACUACAUAGUCCAAACUGGCUUUGAACUCGCGGCAGUCCUCCUGCCUCAGCCUCCCGAGUGCUGGGAUUACAGGCGCACCACGCCCCACCCGUUUUGGAUAGAGUCCAGUCUCAAACCAGGGAAUGGUGUUUUCAGGCCUUAAUUAGACCUGAAAGAGUCACAGUUCUCUUGUUAGGAAACAAGGCAGUGACUUCCAGGAAAGACAGUCAGCGGUUUCAAAAUGUUUUUGAAUUUAGAGGGAGAUUUUUACUUUUUAAGAAAUGUGAUCAGUGGCACAGCGCCUGCCUGGCAAGUGCAAGGUCCUAAGUUUGAUUCCUGGUACCAAAAAAGAAAAGGGAAAUGUGAGUAGGGCCAGGGAUAUAGCUCAGCGACACAGGCACCUGACUGGCAAGCGCAAGGUCUUGAGUUUGAUUCCCAGUACAAAAAAAAAGCAAUGUGGGCAAUAUUAUUAUUGUACCUUGUGCUAUUGUAAAAGAAAUCUUUCUGUGACAAUGAGAAAUGUUCAGUUGUCCAUUUGCGGUGGACACAAUAGUAACAGCUGGCAUGUACUGUAUAUUAAGCACAGAUUUACAUUUUUUAUGCUUCAGAAACUGUCUACUGGCCUGGUG
rnacentral:lncRNA from 1 species